rnacentral:rRNA from 1 species
UACGAAGGGGACUAGCGUUGUUCGGAUUUACUGGGCGUAAAGCGCACGUAGGCGGAUUUGUUAGUCAGGGGUGAAAUCCCGGGGCUCAACCUCGGAACUGCCUUUGAUACUGCAAAUCUCGAGUCCGAUAGAGGUGGGUGGAAUUCCUAGUGUAGAGGUGAAAUUCGUAGAUAUUAGGAAGAACACCGGUGGCGAAGGCGGCCCACUGGAUCGGUACUGACGCUGAGGCACGAAAGCGUGGGGAGCAAACAGG